rnacentral:lncRNA from 10 species
UACUUAUUUAUUCCAUUGAUUGGGCAGCAGUUAACAAUUCCAAUAGUAAUGGGAUACAACUGUUACGGGUAGUUAGGCAGGCAUGAGCAGAACAGGAGAAGACUAUUCUCCUCCACCCACUAGGAAUGUCAGGUUCCACCGUUAUCACAUUACCAGCACCUGGGAGAGACAAUCUCCUGCUUAUCCACAGCUGUUAACAUUAAAGUGUUAAUUGAAUGCAGGCAGCCCACCUGGAAGAAGAAAAAGGGAUUCCAAUAAAAUCUCAGGUAUUAGGUGAGUGAGCCCAGGCAUGGUCAUAAGAGACAAAAUGGAAGAGAAGGUGGCAUGCCCACCUUCCAGGGGCACUCCACUGGAAAAAGGAAGAAAGCCUCAGAUGGGCAAGCAUACAACUUCCUAAACACACGGCAUGUGCUCAGUUUCCAAGGGUAAGAAAUGCACUGCGCAUGCCGGCAGCCCACCCUCAGGAAAGAAUCACGGGAAAGGGAUGCAAGAUGCUAGCCUAUAAAGUCCUAGCAUCACAGUUAAAUUGGGCAUUUGUUCUUCAAGUCACCCACCUGGAUCUCUUCUAAGUGCACUUUCCUUUCUUUCCUGAUCUAAAGCUUUUUAAUGAACUUCCACUCCUGUUUUAAAACUUGCAUUGGUCGCAUUUUCUGCUUUAUACCCCUCAGUCAAAUUCUUUCUUCUGAGGAGGCAAGAAUUGAGGUUGCUGCAGACCCACAUGGAUUCGCUGCCAGUAACUCAGAUACCUGCCACCAGUAACACAACCAAAAAAAUAUUUUACUGUCAUACCAUUUUUUUUUUACAUUCUGGAAUAUCUAGUAUUUCCAGAUUUAUUUUUUUAAACUUAACUUUAUAAUUUUGCUUUAGAAGUUAAGUUCUACAAAAGCGAGCCAGUGCCACCAGAGGAGAUUGUCACAUCACCUCAGAGACUACUUGGAAAGAAAACAUGAAAACACAUCAAAGAUCCAUUUCCUUCUCAGCCUUUUCUCUUUUUAAAGAAAAUAAGUCCCCAGAAGACUAAAAUAUGCCAAUGAAUAAUAACAGAAGAAUUUUUCAAACCUUAAGACAUUUUGGUUGAAAUUAAUUUUUCAUGUAGACAUUUAGAUUAUAGAUAACAAAAUGAAUGCCUUACUGUAUUAAAAGAGAAAAUGAAUAAAAAUUUGUUAAAGUUCCCCCAUCAUAAUCUUCUUAAUAAGAAAUUGUCAAGGACAGUUGAAGCCUUCAGUAAAGACAUAGAGAGUUUAAGAAAACUAAUUUCAUCAGCCAGUGCCCUGGCCUCUAGAAUCAUUGCUAUUAGGAAUUGUUCUAUUAUAUCAUUACAGAGCCUUGUAAGUGACCAAUCCACUCCAAAGUCACAGGUCAGGUUAAUAAGUUUAAGCAAUUUACCAGGUCACCUCAAAUAGUAAGAAUAAUACUGGUAAUAUAAUAAAUAAUGAAAAUGUUAGUGACAUCAAUUCUAUUCAUUUUUCUAAAUGCUUAUUCAUUUAAACCGUAAAACUCACAAUUUUUGCAGAUAAAAAGAGGCACAGAGAAUUUAAGUAAGUUGUCCAAGUCUACCUUCUUAGUAAAUGUUGCAACUGAGAUUCAAAAACCCAAAAAUUUGUUCAGUAUGUAAAGGUUUGUUCAGGUUGUUCAGUAAGAAUUUCUCUUAUACAGUAUAGGUAAAGAAAAGCUCGGCACAGUCAAGGAAAGCAGUAGACAAAGCUAAGCUUAUGGGCAUGAGGCGGGGAAACUGUGUAGAAAAGGACUUGACAGCAUUGGAAGUUACGGGAUUCAUGCUACUCACAGUGUAGAGACCCAAAAUUCAAAAUAUAGAUUUCAUAAACAAUUGCAAAUACUUGAAGACAAAGAAAGAAAAUGGUCAUCAACCCAGAAUUCCAUGCACAGACAAAUCUUUCCAUAAGAGUUAAGAAAAAUUGACAUUUUUCAUUUAUUUCUUUGCCUUCAUUUACCAACAACCUUAAAUGAAGCCAAGUUUAUGAUUCCAGUUUCAGUUAAUUAAGGCUCAGCCCUUCUUCCUAGUUCUCUGUGGCUCUUGACUCUGCACUCUGGGUCAGCUUUCCUCUUCCAUUGAACUUGGCUCUUGUUUUCAGAAGAGUAGCAAAGAUCUUCUGAGGUGUUAACAAAAGGCUUUACAUCACCCCCUUGCUUUUACCUUUACCAUGUUUUCCUGAUAGAAGUCUGGAUCAUAUCUGUCUUAGAAGUCAUUAUUUAACUUGAGAAUUGCCACCCAUCUGAGUAUCCAGACUCAUUUAAAUGGAGCAGAAUAGUUUCAUGAAUGGCCAGCAGGAAGGGGGAGAGAAGAACUGGCUGACAACCAUGGGAAGG